AGAGACCGGCGCACGGGUGCGUAACGCGUAUGCAAUCUACCUUUUGCAGAGGGAUAGCCCAGAGAAAUUUGGAUUAAUACCUCAUAGUAUGUGAGAAUGGCAUCAUUUUCACAUUAAAGUCACAACGGCAAAAGAUGAGCAUGCGUCCCAUUAGCUUGUUGGUAAGGUAACGGCUUACCAAGGCAACGAUGGGUAGGGGUCCUGAGAGGGAGAUCCCCCACACUGGUACUGAGACACGGACCAGACUCCUACGGGAGGCAGCAGUGAGGAAUAUUGGACAAUGGGCGCAAGCCUGAUCCAGCCAUGCCGCGUGCAGGAUGACGGUCCUAUGGAUUGUAAACUGCUUUUGUACAGGAAGAAACACUGGUUCGUGAACCAGCUUGACGGUACUGUAAGAAUAAGGAUCGGCUAACUCCGUGCCAGCAGCCGCGGUAAUACGGAGGAUCCAAGCGUUAUCCGGAAUCAUUGGGUUUAAAGGGUCCGUAGGCGGUUUAGUAAGUCAGUGGUGAAAGCCCAUCGCUCAACGGUGGAACGGCCAUUGAUACUGCUAGACUUGAAUUAUUAGGAAGUAACUAGAAUAUGUAGUGUAGCGGUGAAAUGCUUAGAGAUUACAUGGAAUACCAAUUGCGAAGGCAGGUUACUACUAAUGGAUUGACGCUGAUGGACGAAAGCGUGGGUAGCGAACAGGAUUAGAUACCCUGGUAGUCCACGCCGUAAACGAUGGAUACUAGCUGUUGGGCGCAAGUUCAGUGGCUA
rnacentral:rRNA from 1 species